UACAGAGGGGGCAAGCGUUGUUCGGAAUUACUGGGCGUAAAGGGCGCGUAGGCGGCCUUCUAAGUCGAACGUGAAAUCCCCGGGCUCAACCCGGGAACUGCGUCCGAUACUGGCAGGCUUGAAUUCGGGAGAGGGAUGCGGAAUUCCAGGUGUAGCGGUGAAAUGCGUAGAUAUCUGGAGGAACACCGGUGGCGAAGGCGGCAUCCUGGACCGAAAUUGACGCUGAGGCGCGAAAGCCAGGGGAGCAAACGGG
rnacentral:rRNA from 1 species